CUGUGCUCCAGAGGAGCCCUUCUUUGCCCCAUCAGAGCAGGGGCUGCCAGGAGGGCGAGUGGCAGUGGGGCUCUGGGUGGCUCUUCCAGGGGUGGCGGGGGGGCCCUGUGCCUCACGGUGCUGCCGCUGGGUGCUCACCACGUGCAGCUGGGUGCUCACCAUGCACUGGCAGCUGCUCACCGUGCAGCACUGGGUGCUCACCAUGCACUCUCCAUCCUCCCCCACCUUGGUGACGGGGUCCCAGGAGGCUCCUGGGAGGGGGCAAUGGGUGACGCUGGCCCGGGGAGGGGGUUUUGGCCACGUGAUGGGCAGAAGGAGAAGCAGCGGGGAGCAAGGAGGGCGGUGCAGGAAGUUUGAUCGAGGUCUCCACACGAGGAUCAUGCAUUACAUUUCCAGGCCACAGAAACCACACUGGAAAGUUCGCGUCGCGUUACUCGCUGUCAGGGCCGGGGCCGGGACCGGAGGAGCAGCGCGGCGCGGAGCCCAGGCGGCCUCUCGGUGUCAUUAACAAAACAAACAAACAGCAUUGCCCAUAAUGAGCUCCGGCUUCGGGCGGAGGAGGGGUGAUUAAAGCAGGCUGCCAGGCGCUGGGGGGGCCCCGUGCCCGGCUAUCGCCGUGCUCCCACCCAACUCCUGCUGGGGAAGGGUGCCCCGAGCCCCCAGCGCCCGGUUCAGCGCUCAGCACCGCCUGGUCCGAGUCCUCAGCGCUCCCCAUCCCCGGCGAGGCUCUCACCCGAAGCUCACAGCUCUACUCAACAUGUAGUGAAUGGACUCGGCUGAUCCGAAGCAGCACCUUAAUGCGAGCACACUGCUGGCCGGGGAGGUUCCACGCAGCAUCCCGUGCCGAGCUUCCCCACUGCUGGGGCCCUGUGCCCGCUCUGCUGCUGGGUGCCGUGAUGCUGCGCACUGGGGCACGGCGCCGUGUCGGGCUCGUGGAAAAGCCAGAAUUUCUGGUUUCCAUAAAGGAAUAUGGAGAAUAUUAUCUGGCUUUGUGGUCUGGAGCCCUACGCCCCAGGAUCUCAACUGAAAACCUGCUCAAGAGCAUUCUUCUGCUGGUGGUUUCGGAAAGGGCAGAUUGCAGCAUUGCACCCAGGACAAGUCACUCACUUAUGGCUUACGUGCUGCUCUUCAUUACCUUCCAGCCUGGGCACAUCCGAGGAGCUCAACACUAUUCCCAGUCCCAGGACAGCUCUUCGCUCCCACUGCUGGUGCCAGCAACACUUCAGGUGCUCUUCUGGCUCCCAGCUCCCAACCCUGUAUUUCCUCAGAAGCCACUGGUGCCCAGAACUGAGGGCUGGUGCAAAGCCGAGCACAUUCCUGCACAGAGCUCAGUUGCCUUGCUGCAGGAACAACAUGGCAUGGCAGGGCACACCACGGCACUGCAUGACAUGGCAUGGCACAGUGUGGCCCCUCUGCUGGGCAGUGGUCCUUGUUCCUGAAGGAAUUCACCCGUGUGGGACCUGUGCUGUGCUGAGGGAUCCAGACGUGAGCAGCAGAUAUCUCCUCCGUGCCCAUCCCACGUCUACGUGAAAUACCCAGAGGCGCUGGCUCGCAGUGAGGGCUAAUGAGCGGAUUAUUGCAGCAUUUUAAAACUCAGCUGUUUCAUAAAUAGGGUUUACCCAGUGAAACCAAGAAGACAUUAAAAAAAAAAAAAAAAAGACGUUCACCCCCUUCUCCACACCUCAGCAGCUCCCUAAUAGCAGGCUCAGCAGUGCUUGAGGCCUCAUUUUUCAAACUCUCCUAUCUCAAAGACAUCGCUCUCCAUUACUAUCAAGCCUCUCCCUCCUGCUCCAGUUCUCCAGCACCCAGAAUCCAGGUGCACACUGUGCCACCAAGAGCAGCAUGGGGCUUUCAGCCUCAUCACUGCACGAGUCCAUGGGCAGGAGGGCAGCAGGGCUCAGUGCUGAGCACAGCCCUGUCCUUGCUGCUUGCAGCGGUCACCAUUCCCCAGGGCCAGCAGAGUGCUUGCAGGUCCCUGCAUCUCACUGGGAGCGUCUUCCAGGGGUGGCAUUGCAACAAGAUUGUCCCAGAGCUGCCCAUGGGGUAAGAAAAACCCAGUUAAUUGGUUAUUGUGCUGGCCUCAAGCACUCACGAAAGCAAUCAGCACCUGUUCCCUGAGCAGUGCCCUCUUGCAGGGAAUGUUGUGCGCUCUGUGUUCUGCUCUCCAGUGUCCCCACCACUUCCCCAAAGCAUUGCCAAGCAUAGGGUGUUCUGGUCACCUCUGUUUCUCCAGAGGGAGCAGGGAAGGCAGAAAGAGAGGAGCUGAGGAGCCAUCGAGAGGGGUGCAGAGGAGAGAUCUGUGUGUUGGAAACGUGGAACCGACACAGCGCGGCCUCGAAGGACCUUCCAAUUUAGGGCAAGCAGGUUGCUGCUAGGCAGGAAGAACAUUUAAAGCAAAGUGGGGUUCAAAUAGCUGACACUUCUUAGGCAAUUACUAUU
ensembl:lncRNA